AAAAACAAAAAGUAGAGUUCCACAGGCGUCACAAUGUAGGGUGAAGGCAAAAAAUUAUUUAUUGAAGAUCAAAAAAGGACAAAAAAAAGAUACAAAGUUUCGGCCUAAAGGCCCUAAUCAUGUAUAGAGGCCUUGGUCAUGUAUCCAUUUUUGAGCUCCAAUAAAUAUGUUUUUGCCUUCACCCUACAUUGUAACGUCUGUGGAACUCUACUUCUUCUUGUUC